rnacentral:lncRNA from 1 species
GGGAGCGCCAACAUGGCGCCCUCAGGUCUGCCCCUCACCCCCGUGGCGCUUCCGGUUCCUCGGGUCUGGGACAUGUGUGGUCAGCGAGACGCCUGCCCCUCCGGCCGAGGCAUGAGAUGGACCUAAGGGUCGCUGAGGAGCCCUUGAGAGCCACCGCUCAGAGCAGAUUCAUUGACUAC